rnacentral:rRNA from 1 species
GAUGAACGCUGGCGGCGUGCCUAAUACAUGCCAGUCGAGCGAACAGAUGAGGAGCUUGCUCCUCUGACGUUAGCGGCGGACGGGUGAGUAACACGUGGAUAACCUACCUAUAAGACUGGGAUAACUUCGGGAAACCGGAGCUAAUACCGGAUAAUAUAUUGAACCGCAUGGUUCAAUAGUGAAAGACGGUUUUGCUGUCACUUAUAGAUGGAUCCGCGCCGCAUUAGCUAGUUGGUAAGGUAACGGCUUACCAAGGCAACGAUGCGUAGCCGACCUGAGAGGGUGAUCGGCCACACUGGAACUGAGACACGGUCCAGACUCCUACGGGAGGCAGCAGUAGGGAAUCUUCCGCAAUGGGAGAAAGCUUGACGGAGCAACGCCGCGUGAGUGAUGAAGGUCUUCGGAUCGUAAAACUCUGUUAUUAGGGAAGAACAAAUGUGUAAGUAACUAUGCACGUCUUGACGGUACCUAAUCAGAAAGCCACGGCUAACUACGUG